AUGGCCCAUCAACAGUCUGGGUCUGAAAUGUCCCUACGGCGGUCACAAAGGUUGGCAACUUCUGCCUCCACUCAGCAGCUCCAGGAGGUUAAAGAUAAACUAGAACAGUGCAAAGCAGAGCUAGCCUCCACCACUGAAGAACUACAGAAGUAUCAGAAAAUGGUAGAACCACCACCCUCAGCCAAGCCUUUUACCACUGAUGUGGACAAGAAGUUAGAGGAGGGCCAGAAGAAUAUAAGACUGCUUCGGUGUGAGCUUCAGAAACUUGGUGAAUCUCUCCAGUCAGCAGAAAGGGCCUGUUGCCAUAGCACUGGGGCAGGAAAACUUCGUCAGGCUUUGACUACUUGUGAUGACAUCUUAAUCAAACAGGUGAGGGCAUCUUAGAUAACCCCUCUUCUCCUACUAGACCACUCAAAUAUAUAUGAAAGAAGGCAAAUGGGGAGCAGAAGGUAGAGUUUAGGCUCAAAAGAGGGGAGGGUAUUUCUCAUCCUUGUAAAAUAACGUAAUUGUUAGGCAUUUAGUACCAAGUACUAGGUACCAAACUAAGUAAUUUUAGGCAUUUACUCUGUUAUAACCAUUGAGAGGUAGAUACUACUGUAUUUUACCUAAGUUGACACUGGUAUUAUUUUAUGUACUCCUAAUAUACUAACAGACUAUGGCAUCCCUCCCCUUCUGAGUUACUAGGGAUUGAAUUCAGGGAAUUCACCGAGCUGCUCUCCAUCCCCACAUUUUUUUUUUUUUUCUUUUGUACCGGCGAUCGAACUCAGGACCUGGCACUGUACUGCUGAGCUGAAUCCCAUACUUCCAUCCCCAUUUUUUGAGACAGCAUCUCACCAGGUUGAACUGAAACUUCUAAGCCUGCUGUCUCAGCCUUUCAGAGUGCUGAGAUGACAGGCAUGUUGCCCAGCUUUCUCUUUUUUUCCUCUUUUUGUGGUUUGGGCAUCAAACCCAUGACUGCCUCCAUGCUAAGCCUAAGCUAAGACUUUUCUCAUCAUUAAAUGCAUGAUUCCAGAGAUAUUAAAAUGUUAAAAGAAAAAACUAUAUUUGGGAGGCUGAGGCAGGAUGAUCACAAGUUUAAAGCAAGCCUGGAAAACUUAGCAAGACUCUCUCAAAAUGAAAAGGGCUGGGGAUGUAGCUCGGUAUUAGAAUGCCCCUACAUUUGAACCUCAGUACUGAAAUAAUAAACAAUAAGGAAGAAGGAAAAGAAAAAUACAAAUCAUUCAUCAUACAACUGAUUAUCUAGGGACUAAGGUUCUUGGAAGAUAAAUUAAGUCACUGAAGCUCAUACUACCUUAUGUCCUAGAAACUGUCCUUUUUAGUACUGCUUAUGUUUGGGUCUCAACGGAAAUAUUCCCUCUAUUCAGUUAAGAGCUCUGAUCAUAAAGAGCUAAUCUUUGAAGAGGAUGGGUUACUUUGCCCUCUUGUUUCUCUAAUGGACUAGACAGAAAUGUGUUUUCUAACUUUCCUGAUGUUCCUUAGGACCAGACCUUGGCUGAGCUGCAGAAUAACAUGAUGCUAGUGAAACUGGACCUUCGGAAGAAGGCAGCAUGCAUCGCUGAGCAGUAUCAUACAGUGCUAAAGCUCCAAGGCCAGUCCUCUGCCAAAAAACGCCUGGGUGCCAACCAGGAAAACCACCAACCAAACCAGCAACCCCCAGGGAAGAAACCAUUCCUUCGAAACUUACUUCCUCGAACACCCACCUGUCAGAGGUCAACAGACUGCAGCCCUUACACCCGAAUCUUGCGCUCACGGCACUCUCCUUUACUCAAAUCUGGGCCUUUUAGCAAGAAGUACUAACUGUGGCUGAGGAGAGCAGUCAUUGCCCUGAGGUGGAUCAGCUGCUCACCUUAAUAACUAGAUCUCUUAAGAUUUACCACACACCUGGAACUCUAUGCAAUACUCACAUACUAGUUGUUUUUCCUUUUGUAUUAUAAUCACCUUUAUAAUCUCAUAUUUUUUCACUCAUAUAUCUAUGCACACAAGUUAUAUUAAAUAAAAAUAUUAUUGUUCACAUUUAUUUGAAUUCCAAAUUUAACAAAAUCAUUAAAUCAUAAAAAGGGGCAGAAAAAUUGACUUUUUUUUUUUUUUUGAGAUUAGGAUGGUGGCCCUGGCAUUGUGUGGUUGACACUGCAGCGACGCCUGCCUCAGCGUCCCAAGUGCUGGGAUUAC
rnacentral:lncRNA from 1 species